UUAAAGGCGAGGAAAAGGAAAGUAGGACCGUUUGCUUGCUUAAAGAGAGAAGGUGCCGCGGCUGAAAGCGCCUUUAGGAUACGACGGUUUGAAAAACCGCCUUGGAGCCGCCUGCUGAAAUUGUAGUAGGCAGUGCCGGUGGCAGCCGUUAAUUGCCGCGAGUGAAGAAGCAUGCCGCUUCUUAACCAGGGUGGAACCGCGGGAGAACCCGUCCCUGAC
rnacentral:ncRNA from 1 species